rnacentral:lncRNA from 1 species
GACUGGAAAAGAAUCUGGAACCACAUAUCUUCUCUUUCAAAGUUGAAAUCCAGAAUAAGAUAUCUCUUCUCCCAAGCUCUUUCCAACUCUGAUUAGAGUUCUGAGUAAUCCGUCUUAACCAAUGAAAAGAAUCUUUGGCAGAUAGCCUUUGAGUUUAAACUUCAUAUGCCCAUCUUUUCUCAGGACAAACCUAACCUUUCUUUCUGGGGAGAGAAGUUUCAUGUUGGAGGAUACACAAUCAUUGAGGAACUGAGAAAUAAAUAUUCAAGGCUUCCUUCCACCCUUGUCAAGGAGCCCAGAAGUUCAAGGGUAAUUGUGUGUGUGUGUGUGUGUGUGUGUGUGUGUGUGUGUGCGUGCGCGCGUGCUUGUGCCUGCGUGGGUGUGAGGCUGUAUCUGGAUGUAUGUGGAUCUGAAUAAUAGAAACAAGGUACAAGCACAGACAUUUGUGGCACCAUGAAGGAAAUGUUUGAAUCUCCCUGCAGGAUCCAUGCUGCUGAAGUGGUCGCCAAAAUGUUCACAUCUGCUUCUGGAUAGGCCUGAAUGUCUGUCUGGGAGUGUUCCUGAUGCCCAGAGCUGGUGGGAGGAGAUGUUUGCAACACUAUCUCUGGGAGAGAAACUCUGUAUCUGAGUCCCAAUCUCUGUGUGGAUGAGACACCCAACAGACAGAAAUGCCCGCUGAGUGGUGCUCGGUGAGAUGCUGAAUGUGAGUGUGUUGGGUCUGUGCGGAGCCAGCCUCUUGGGCCCGUCCUUCCGCCCCCUUCCCCGAGAGGCCUGGAGCAGCCGGUUUGGUAAUUGCUCUCCUGAUCCAUAUGUAGAGUAAUUAAUUAUGGCAUGGCAUAUGCAGAUCAGCUGAGGUUUUUCUCAUUAGCUGAGUUGGUGUUGGCAAUUAGGGAAGUAAAUACCCAGAGCUCUCAGAGGCUGGAGAGCUCCCUCCUCACACCUCUAACAAUUAGCCUUUUAAUUUAUUAAGGGCAUUAAAAAAUUCUUUCAAGGGCUUUUUUGCUAAUUAAAGUUUUCUUGUU